rnacentral:ncRNA from 1 species
UAUUAAGUUUGAUUUUGGUUUUAGUUGUAUUAAGAUAGUAUUACUUAUUUUUAGUUUAUUAAGUAUGUAAUUUUUUGUACAUCGGUAGUUUUUUCUUUGUUUUAUAAAUGUUCCAGAAUAAUCGGCUAUGCAUUUUAAAUUUUAACUCUAAUUGUUGUGAUGUUUAUUUUUUGUGUUUUUUAUUUUUUAAUUUUAUUUUUGUAAAAUGUUUUAAUUUUUAUGUUUUUUGGGAUAAGUGUUUAAAAUUUGUUUUGUGAACUGGAUUAGUACCCAGGUAAUCAAAAUUUAUUAAUUCGGGAGUAAAGUUGUGUUUAAACCGAAAGAAUAUUGACUGACUUUAGAUUUUUCUUUGGAAUAUGUGCUAGGAUAGCCCUCUUUAUUGGUAAAUUUUUUUGGCACAUGUAUGAUUGUUUUGUUAUUAUGUUAUUUGUUAGUGCUUUAAACUUUUUUAGUUUUAAAACAGAUAUAUAUUUGGCUUAUAAAUUUUUUUGCAUGUAUUACUAUUGUUAAUUUUCUUUGGAUAUUUUUUUUAUUUUUUUUGAAAUUGGAAAAGAAAGUAAUUUAUUUUUUAGUGUUUUGGUGAAUUUAAUAAAUAAGGUGGUACAAACCAUCCGUCAAUGGCCUAAAGGGGCGUAAGUUGUAGUAUGGUAGAGGUAAGGAAACUUGUCUCUAGAUUUGGUA